rnacentral:rRNA from 1 species
GACGUAGGGCGCGAGCGUUGUCCGGAUUUAUUGGGCGUAAAGGGCGCGUAGGCGGCCUGCUAAGUCGAACGUGAAAUCCCUGGGCUCAACCCAGGAACUGCGUCCGAUACUGGUUGGCUUGAAUCCGGGAGAGGGAUGUGGAAUUCCAGGUGUAGCGGUGAAAUGCGUAGAUAUCUGGAGGAAUACCGGUGGCGAAGGCGGCUCACUGGCCCGGUACUGACGCUGAGAUACGAAAGCGUGGGGAGCAAACAGG